rnacentral:rRNA from 1 species
GAUGAACGGUGGCGGCGUGCCUAACACAUGCAAGUCGAACGGAGCACUGAGACUUCGGUUUUUGUGCUUAGUGGCGGACGGGUGAGUAACGCGUGAGCAAUCUGCCUUUCAGAGGGGGAUAACGACUGGAAACGGUCGCUAAUACCGCAUAACGUAUUUUGCAGGCAUUUGCGAGAUACCAAAGGAGCAAUCCGCUGAAAGAUGAGCUCGCGUCUGAUUAGAUAGUUGGUGAGGUAACGGCCCACCAAGUCGACGAUCAGUAGCCGGACUGAGAGGUUGAACGGCCACAUUGGGACUGAGACACGGCCCAGACUCCUACGGGAGGCAGCAGUGGGGAAUAUUGCGCAAUGGGGGAAACCCUGACGCAGCAACGCCGCGUGAUCGAAGAAGGUUUUCGGAUUGUAAAGAUCUUUUAUCAGGGACGAAGAAAGUGACGGUACCUGAUG